AAACGAAGUGGGAAGGCUAAAACAGUCAGGAUGUU
rnacentral:sRNA from 1 species